CAUGGCAGUCUCAGGUUGGAUAUUGUCUCCCCCCAAGGAUGGAUAUUCCACAGCUCCACUGGUCUAGACCAUAAAACAUCCGUUCUGCAGCAUUUUAAGUAACACACCAUCUUUCCUGAGUGGAGCUUUCCUAUGGCAUUUACCAAUCAAGAACAAGGCUGUUUUCUUCCAGGGCCCUUACUGUAACUAAAUUUUCAGACUGCAUUGAAGAGACAUUUUGUAAAAAGCUCAGAGUAGCUACCUUUGAGCUGCCUUAAGGAUGAAUCCCACAGCUGGUUGCCUGAAGCUGGGGUCAUUACACUGGCAGCAGCAGAGCUGAGUGGUCCCCAGCCCCACUCACCAUUGACUGUGCCAAGCUGGGGACAGCAAACACCAAAGUUCUCCAGCCCAGCUGCUCUGCCUGCUGUGCCUUGCCAUGGGGAGGAGGUCCAUGCUUGGUGAGCCUUGGCCUGCUGCUGGAACAGCUCUCAGAG